UGGGGAAUAUUGCACAAUGGGGGAAACCCUGAUGCAGCGACGCCGCGUGAGCGAAGAAGUAUUUCGGUAUGUAAAGCUCUAUCAGCAGGGAAGAAACUGACGGUACCUGACUAAGAAGCACCGGCUAAAUACGUGCCAGCAGCCGCGGUAAUACGUAUGGUGCAAGCGUUAUCCGGAUUUACUGGGUGUAAAGGGAGCGUAGACGGAUAGGCAAGUCUGGAGUGAAAGCCCGGGGCUCAACCCCGGGACUGCUUUGGAAACUGUUUAUCUAGAGUGCUGGAGAGGCAAGUGGAAUUCCUAGUGUAGCGGUGAAAUGCGUAGAUAUUAGGAGGAACACCAGUGGCGAAGGCGGCUUGCUGGACAGUAACUGACGUUGAGGCUCGAAAGCGUGGGGAGCAAACA
rnacentral:rRNA from 1 species